rnacentral:other from 1 species
UGUCCCCUGCGGUGUUCGUGAUGGCCAUAUAUUCUUUGACCCGAUAGCCAUCUAACCCGGUUGUCAGCCUAAGCAAUGCCGGUGUGCGCUCCCAAGCGGAAGUGCCUAAAGGUGUUGGGCAGACGACCCCUUUUUAGGAAAGGGUCCAAGAUGCCGGUCUAACGGCACAGGCGGGGGGCUU